UAGGGAAUCUUCGGCAAUGGACGAAAGUCUGACCGAGCAACGCCGCGUGAGUGAAGAAGGUUUUCGGAUCGUAAAACUCUGUUGAUAGAGAAGAACAAGGACGUUAGUAACUGAACGUCCCCUGACGGUAUCUAACCAGAAAGCCACGGCUAACUACGUGUCAGAAGCCGUGGUAAUACGUAGGUGGCAAGCGUUGUUCGGAAUUAUUGUGCGAAAAGCGAGCGCCGGCGGUUUCUUAAGUCUGAUGUGAAAGCCCCCGGCUCAACCGGGCAGGGUCAUUGGAGACUGGAAGACUUGAUGGCAGAAUAGGAGUGUGGAAUUCCAUUUGUAGCGGUGAAAUGCGUAGUUAUAUGGAGGAACACCAGUGGCGAAUGCGGCUUUCUGGUCUGUAACUGACGCUGAGGCUCGAAAGCGUGGGGAGCAAACAGG
rnacentral:rRNA from 1 species